rnacentral:tRNA from 1 species
GAUUCCGUAGUGUAGCGGUUAUCACGUUCGCUUUACACGCGAAAGGUCCCCGGUUCGAACUCAGGCGGAAUCA